ensembl:snRNA Gm24692 predicted gene, 24692
AUACUACAAAAAUAGAAAAUGAUCACACAGGUGUUUUUCCCAGGGCAUGGUGUUUCCCUUGCAUUUGGGCUGUGCUAUGAUUUCCCUAAAUGUGGGAUAGUCAACUGCAUAGCUGUGGUAGUGGGGCUGCAUUUCUGCUCACCUCU